rnacentral:rRNA from 1 species
AUGUCCGAAUCAACCGGAGACCUGAAAUCGAUGCUCCAGUCGCUCUUGACGCGGUUCGAUGAAAGCAAGCUCGCGGGCGACAAGCAUCUCGAAGCGCAACUCGCGUUCAACACACAGGUGUCGUCUGAUCUGGCGCACCUCCGCAAGCAACUGGAUCUCACUCAAGCAGACGUCAACGAGGUGCGGCAGCACCGCGAUCCACCACCAUCGCCGACCGCCGCUGCGCUCCACCGACCGCACGCGGCCAACACCCAAGACGGCAAGCCCCAGGCGUGCUCAAUGACGUCCCUUGAGCAAACACGCGGCCCUCGUCCCCAAGGACCAACCGCUCAUCUCUCCAACAAAGGGCCUCCUCUGAUUCCCACGCGGCCAUCUCCGCCGUUCACGGGCACGGGCCAGGCCGCGGUCAUCACGGCGGGCCGCGGCAUCUACUAUGGGCAAACCGAGGAGUACACGGUCAAGCCCCCCAAGCAUGACUUUCCUCGCUUCGACGGCGACACGCCCAGCCUCUGGAUCGACCGCUGCAUCGCCUUGUACCGCAUACCGUCGCACAACUGGGUUACCACGGCGUUGCUCUACAUCCACGGUCACGCGGCGCACUGGUUCCAGGCAUACCGUCAGACGCACCUUGCGCCAACCUGGGAGGAGUUCACAGCAGCCCUCAACAGCGAGUUCGGUCCGGAUGAGUUCGAGGUGGAGAUGCAUAAGUUGCUGCAGCUCAGGCGGACCAGCACCAUCGCAGAGUACCGGGUGGAGUUCGAGGCCCACAUGUACCACUUGCUCACCCUCGAGGCGACGCUCAACCCCAAGCUCUUCAUCACGCGAUUCCUGUUGGGCCUGCGCGACGAUCUCUGGGCCGUGGUCCGCCUUCAGGAGCCGUCGAGCAUUACUCGUGCUGCCGUGUUAGCCAUGAUCGUGGAAGAAGAGGCGGGCAAUCAACGUGCUCGUCCGCGAAUCAUUCCCGCGAGUCGACCUCCACCACCCCUCUCGCCACACACCAUAGGCCGUGGGGGUGCCACGGCCAGGGGGCGCUGUUGUGCCCAACGACGACCUGGCACGCGAGCGCCAGCUACACGAGCAUCGGUGUGCCAAUGGCCUCUGCUUCAAAUGUGGAGAUCGGUACUCCCGCGAGCAUCGAUGCAAGGCGGCCACCCAACUGCUUACGAUCCAUGUCGGCGACUACGUCGAGGUGCUCAGCGACGACGCGGUCCACGCUUUGGACCUGCUCAACGCACCUGCACAACCAGAGCCGGCACCCGAGUGUUGCGUGCUCUCCACGCACACUGUCGCGGGGACCGAGUCACCGCAUACUAUCCGUCUACGAGCGCUCGUCGGCAACCAAGUUAUGUUGCUGUUGGUGGACUCCGGGAGCACGCACAGCUUCAUUUCCACGACAUUCGCAGACCGCAUCAAAGCAACGCCAGUCGAGGUACGCGUCGCCAACGGAGAGCGCAAUGUCCUGCAACAACAUGGUCCAAGGGUUGA